rnacentral:tRNA from 2 species
GGGGGCGUAGCUCAGUCGGUAGAGCAUCGGCCUUUUAAGCCGCUGGUCGGAGGUUCGAGUCCUCCCGCCCUCA